rnacentral:rRNA from 1 species
GACGAACCGUGCGAACGUUGUUCGGAAUCACUGGGCUUAAAGGGCGCGUAGGCGGGCUGCCGCGUCCGGGGUGAAAUCCCACGGCUCAACCGUGGAACGGCCUCGGAUACGGGCGGCCUCGAGGGGGGUAGGGGCAUCUGGAACUGUGAGUGGAGCGGUGAAAUGCGUUGAUAUUCACAGGAACUCCGGUGGCGAAGGCGAGGUGCUGGACCCCUUCUGACGCUGAGGCGCGAAAGCUAGGGGAGCAAACAGG